AUGAAAAUUGAGAAGGGAAUAAGGUUAGGAAGACUGAGCUUUUCUCUUCUUCUUCGCGGUGCACACAUCCCUUCCGCCAUCUUCUUCUUCUUCGCCUCGCUACACUCACAGCGCCGCGAAUGCCUUCCAUCACCGGCGAUCUCCCUUCUGCUUUCUUCAUACUAUGUCACUCCAUCGUCUCUUCAACUCACUUCUCCUUUGAAGAGAAGGGUGAAGAUUGAAGGUGGAGGUCGUAGAAGAGAGUGCGUAGAUGCGUCCCUGUUCUUAGAAAUUAGAAGAACGAAACAUACUGAGAAACGAGACUCAAAGCUCAGUGAUGAGGGUGGAAACCACGAAGAAUGGAGACUAAAGGGAGAGUUCGCGAAAGAUCAACCAGGACCCAUUUGA